CAUUUUAAAAUAAAAUAUAAUUUAUAAUUUUUGUGUUUUAAUCACUAUCAUUAUAUCAUUCUUUUUUAUUUUACUCUCUAAUGACAUCAUGAGUUGACUAACACUUUAAAUAAUGUUCAGUAUUGAGUUGACAAUUUUAUUCGCAACCUUAACUUUUAGUUUCUCCUUUAGCUGCUUCCACCUUAGAACAACCUAAACUUCCUCAACAGAUAGAGUCUCUCUUACAUACAGCAGGAUUUCUAUGAAAUGAUUACUCGCCUAGAAAAUAAACACCACAAUAGCAGCAUUUAAUCCUUAUCAUCAAUAUUCUUCAUAUCUAGGAUAAACUUGUUCAAUCCAUAUAGUUCUUUUCUAAAGGAUGGUCAUGGAAUGGAUUUUUCAAAGUCCAAUCUAGAUCUUAUAAAAUAUAUUGUAUUUAUAAUCCAGAUUUUUUUAAUUAGAUUAAUUAGACCUAGAUUUUUUUAAGCUAAUUUAAAUUGGAUUAAAUCU
rnacentral:lncRNA from 1 species